UCCAGACUCCUACGGGAGGCAGCAGUGGGGCCUCUUGCACAAUGGGGGGCCCCCUGAUGCAGCGCCGCCGCGUGCGUGCAGAAGUAUUUCGGUAUGUAAAGCUCUGUCAGCAGGGAAGCAGAAAGACGGUCCCUGACCAAGAAGCCCCGGCUAACUACGUGCCAGCAGCCGCGGUAAUACGUAGGGGGCAAGCGUUAUCCGGAUUUACUGGGUGUAAAGGGAGCGUAGACGGCAGGGCAAGUCUGGAGUGAAAGGCAGGGGCGCAACCCCUGGACUGCUCUGGAAACUGUCCGGCUGGAGUGCAGGAGAGGUAAGUGGAAUUCCUAGUGUAGCGGUGAAAUGCGGAGAUAUUAGGAGGAACACCAGUGGCGAAGGCGGCUUACUGGACUGUAACUGACGUUGAGGCUC
rnacentral:rRNA from 1 species